rnacentral:rRNA from 1 species
AUUGAACGCUGGCGGCAGGCCUAACACAUGCAAGUCGAGCGGAGCGGCGGACGGGUGAGUAAUGCCUAGGAAUCUGCCUGGUAGUGGGGGAUAACGUCCGGAAACGGGCGCUAAUACCGCAUACUAUCAGAUGAGCCUAGGGCGGAUUAGCUAGUUGGUGGGGUAAAGGCCUACCAAGGCGACGAUCCGUAACUGGUCUGGGAGGAUGAUCAGUCCCACGGGAACUGAGACACUGUCAAGACUCCUACGGGAGGCAGCAGUGGGGAAGAUUGGACAAUGGGCGAAAGCCUGAGUCAGCGAUUCCGCGUGUGUGAAGAAGGUCUUCGGAUUGUAAAGUUCUUUAAGUUGUGAGGCGUUACCAACAGAAUAAGCACCGGCUAACUUCGUGCCAGCCGCCGCGGUAAUUC